rnacentral:rRNA from 1 species
GACAGAGGGUGCAAACGUUGUUCGGAAUUACUGGGCAUAAAGAGCACGUAGGUGGUGCGCUAAGUCACGUGUGAAAUCCCCCGGCUCAACCGGGGAAUGGCGCGUGAUACUGGCGGACUCGAGGCGGGUAGGGGUGAGCGGAACUCCAGGUGGAGCGGUGAAAUGCGUAGAUAUCAGGAGGAACACCCGUGGCGAAGGCGGCUCUCUGGGACGGUACUGACACUGAGACGCGAAAGCGUGGGGAGCGAACAGG